GGCAUGCAUGUCUAAGUAUAAGUAUUAUACAGCGAAACUGCGAAUGGCUCAUUAAAACAGUAAUAGUUUAUUUGACAAUCUCACUUAUAUGGAUACCCGUAGUAAUUCUAGAGCUAAUACAUGCUGUACUCCUAACUUUUUGGAAGGGAGGUAUUUAUUAGAUAAUAACCAAUAUUCCGUAGGUCUAUCGUGGUGAAUCAUAAUAACUGAUCGAAUCGCACAGCCUUUGGCUGCGAUAAGUCAUUCAAGUUUCUGCCCCAUCAGCUUUAGAUGGUAGUGUAUUGGACUACCAUGGCGUUCACGGGUAACGGAGGAUUAGGGUUCGAUUCCGGAGAGGGAGCCUGAGAAACGGCUACCACAUCCAAGGAAGGCAGCAGCCGCGUAAAUUACCCAAUCCUGACUCAGGGAGGUAGUGACAAGAAAUAACAAGCGGUGGCCUAGCCACCGAAUUGCAAUGAGCCGAAUUUACACCACUUAGUGAGGACCAAUUGGAGGGCAAGUCUGGUGCCAGCAGCCGCGGUAAUUCCAGCUCCAAUAGCGUAUAUUAAAGUUGUUGCAGUUAAAAAGCUCGUAGUUGGAUUUCUGGCGGGGACCCAAGUACCCCUGGUGGGUGUGCUCGGGCCCGGCCAUCCUUCUGUAAACUUUCGCGCGUCCUUCACCGGUCGGCAAAGGGAUCAGAUAAUUUACCUUGAGAAAAUUAGAGUGUUUCAGGCAGGCUUAGCCGGAAUACAUUAGCAUGGAAUAAUGGAAUAGGACUGAGGUCUCGUUGUUGGUUACGCGGACUACAGUAAUGAUUAAUAGGGACAGUUGGGGGCAUUAGUAUUUAUUAGCUAGAGGUGGAAUUCUCUAAUUUGAUAAAGACUAACUUAUGCGAAAGCAUUUGCCAAGGAUGUUUUCAUUAAUCAAGAACGAAAGUUAGGGGAUCAAAGACGAUCAGAUACCGUCCUAGUCUUAA
rnacentral:rRNA from 1 species